rnacentral:rRNA from 1 species
GUGGGGAAUAUUGGGCAAUGGGCGCAAGCCUGACCCAGCAACGCCGCGUGAAGGAAGAAGGCUUUCGGGUUGUAAACUUCUUUUACCAGGGACGAAACAAAUGACGGUACCUGGUGAAUAAGCCACGGCUAACUACGUGCCAGCAGCCGCGGUAAUACGUAGGUGGCGAGCGUUAUCCGGAUGUAUUGGGUGUAAAGGGCGUGUAGGCGGGACAGCAAGUCAGAUGUGAAAAGCAGAGGCUCAACCUCUGGCCUGCAUUGGAAACUGUGGGUCUUGAGUGUCGGAGAGGUAAUCGGAAUUCCGUGUGUAGCGGGGAAAUGCGUAGAUAUACGGAGGAACACCAGUGGCGAAAGCGGAUUACUGGACGAUAACUGACGCUGAGGCGCGAAAGCGUGGGGAGCAAACAGGAUUAGAAACCCGGGUAGUCC